rnacentral:rRNA from 1 species
UCAGGGCGGAACGCCGGGCGCGGGCCCUAAUACCAUGCAAAUUCGAGCGAGCGGAACCCAACAGAUUUACUUUCGGUAAUGACGUUGGAAAAGCGAGCGGCGGGAUGGGGUGGAGUAACACGUGGGGAACCUGCCCCUAAGUCCGGGAUACCAUUUGGAAACAGGUGCUAAUACCGGAUAAUAAAGCAGAUCGCAUGAUCAGCUUUUGAAAGGCGGCGUAAGCUGUCGCUAAGGGAUGGCCCCGCGGUGCAUUAGCUAGUUGGUAAGGUAACGGCUUACCAAGGCGACGAUGCAUAGCCGAGUUGAGAGACUGAUCGGCCACAUUGGGACUGAGACACGGCCCAAACUCCUACGGGAGGCAGCAGUAGGGAAUCUUCCACAAUGGACGCAAGUCUGAUGGAGCAACGCCGCGUGAGUGAAGAAGGUUUUCGGAUCGUAAAGCUCUGUUGUUGGUGAAGAAGGAUAGAGGUAGUAACUGGCCUUUAUUUGACGGUAAUCAACCAGAAAGUCACGGCUAACUACGUGCCAGCAGCCGCGGUAAUACGUAGGUGGCAAGCGUUGUCCGGAUUUAUUGGGCGUAAAGCGAGCGCAGGCGGAAAAAUAAGUCUAAUGUGAAAGCCCUCGGCUUAACCGAGGAACUGCAUCGGAAACUGUUUUUCUUGAGUGCAGAAGAGGAGAGUGGAACUCCAUGUGUAGCGGUGGAAUGCGUAGAUAUAUGGAAGAACACCAGUGGCGAAGGCGGCUCUCUGGUCUGCAACUGACGCUGAGGCUCGAAAGCAUGGGUAGCGAACAGGAUUAGAUACCCUGGUAGUCCAUGCCGUAAACGAUGAGUGCUAAGUGUUGGGAGGUNUCCGCCUCUCAGUGCUGCAGCUAACGCA